GGAAGUAAAAACAAGGUUUCCGUAGGUGAACCUGCGGAAGGAUCAUUACAGAGUUCAUGCCCUCACGGGUAGAUCUCCCACCCUUGAAUAUUUAUACCUUAGUUGCUUUGGCAGGCCGCGGAAACACCAUGGGCUCCGGCUUAUGCGUGCCUGCCAGAGGAAACAAACUCUGUUUUUAGUGAUGUCUGAGUACUAUAUAAUAGUUAAAACUUUCAACAACGGAUCUCUUGGUUCUG
rnacentral:misc_RNA from 1 species